CUCCACUGUACUACAUCGCAACUGAUGAGCAUUCAAAUGUACUGCAAUGCUCCAUUGCCAAUUAAUUACAUAUCUACUCAUAUGACAAUGGGAACAAUACUGCAUAUUGGGAGUUCAACAGCGCCCAUUUUCUAUGCAAUAAUCACUUUAAGUAAGCAGUGAUUAUGUAAUGAGCAUAAAACUAAAUGUUGAAUGAAUAUCAUUAAGUUCAUAAGCAUAGAGGUUCUUAGGAAAUUAAGAACUCACAAAUGCGAAGCAGAAAUUCAAAAUCAGAACUCACCCAUUGAAUGGCUGAAGACGUGAGCUUUUUUCCAACCCAAGUGAUCCAUUAGAGUCACUGCAUUUUUCGCCAUAAUUCUUGUCGUGUCAAAGCAAAACAAAAUUCUUAAUCUUUCGGUAACUUGAAAAUGAAGGUUUUCAAUUUAAUAAUUACUCUUCUUUAAGGUUUAUGAACUGUCAAAAAAUAAUGAAUGUUGAUGAAUUUCAAAAUAAUAAUAAUAAUAAUAAUGAGGAGUUAAAAACUUUGGGCUUUGUUAUAUUUGGCGAGUAGGCCGAAUCAUCAUAUUUAUGUGAACUUGUUUGGCAUCCUGGAAGUUGACUAUUGUAUUAUACUUAGCCUUAUAAUUUCAUGUAUCUGAAAGUGUAAAUCAUAUUUUUAAUCAUUACCCCUGUUUGGCCCCCAUUACAAG
rnacentral:lncRNA from 1 species